AUCACGUGUGACGGGGGGGUUAACGCGUUACACGUUUUGGAACAUUGUUGGCCGCCAUUUUUUAUUUAUUUUUAUCGCUCGGCUCUGUUCGGUUUUAUUCGGUUGGGUAAAUUCCUAGGCUGCGUUCGAUUGAGUGCUCGCCUGUUAAUCGAUUAAAGAGUUCAUGCAAACACUUUAUAUAAAUUAAUCAAUUACACUUCAACACUUCAUCUUUUCACCAAACACUGAAGACGGGAGUACAUAAUUCUUAAAGGCAUACAUCAGUCAACAAUUUGGUGAGAACUGACAACACUCUUCAGCAGGUGCCAAACCAUAAAACGAACAUGGCUGUAGCAAAUGGUGACAUUCUGUAGCAAAUGGUGUCAUUAUAUCAAUGUGCAGGUACAUGGCACAUAAGUUGUUGUUUACUCUGGUUGUGAACCCAAGUGCAUCUAAAGUGAGGAUAUAUACAGCUGGACAAAGUUCAAGCAAGGUGUUGAAUGUGUGCGUUUUGGAACCUUCUAAGAUUCAUAAAGUUAUUACGGUUUGUGUAAUGCUGCAUAACUCUGCUAGAAAGCUCCAUCUGAUUCAGAGAAAUUCAAUGACAGUGUCUGAUCCAGGUUUUGUUUUGUUACAAGAUGAUAACUUUGAUAUGAAAGAGAUUUCAACCCAGUGGUUCAUGAUGUUGAUAGCAGAGCUGUUAUUUACUAGUAAUACAUUUACUCUUAAAGACAGCUGUAGAUGACAAAGUAAUUUACAUGCUCUGUUAACACAAAAUGAUAUUCAUAUUUUACAUUUUUCAUACAUCUUCAUUUUGAAUUUAAAUCAAUAUGCAACAGGAAAAUAAUGUUACAGUUAGAUGAUUAUAAUUGAGAACUUCAAUGCAAAACAAUUCAUAAAAUAAAGACAAAUGAACAAAAUAAUUAUGAAAAAUACAUGAAAUUGUUUUAAAUUCUGAUAACAAAUAAAAAAUAAUUUUAAGUAAUAAUUUUUGUUCAUAUACAAUACUGAGUAACUUUAAUUACAUGUUCCCUCUGACAUGUCACCCACUUUAAUUAACAAUUUAAGAUGUGUUUAUCUUAAGUUAUCUACACUUGGUUUAUUUACUUCUACACUACACUUGCUUCACUCUUCACAAUUUGUAAGGUGAAAUAAAUUAUAAAUAUUA